GCUCCCAGAGUGCCUCGCGCGGCGGGCCCGGAUCUUCGCCACCGCCGCCAUUUAUGGGCGGGGAAAGGGCUCGAGAAAGGUGGGGGUGGUCCUCUAGUCCCUUGCCUUGCGUUUCCCUGGACUUAAGGGCCGAAGGGACACUGGUGACUUGACCUCCUGGUAUUGGCUUGCACCGUCACCUGCAGAGGCAUUUCGCCUCACUUCCUUCCCAGCACCCACCACCACUAAAGUCUGAGAUGGGACCUGAGAUUCUGCGCUUCUAACAAGCUUUCAGAUCCCAGGAGGAGGCUCCUCCAGGCUCCUGAGAGGCCACACACAGGGUCCCCAGCACAGCUUACUGCUUAGUGUCUCCUGUGCCAUGGAGGAAGACAUGUGGCAGGAGUACCCAGUGCUAAUAUGUGUUCAUGUCUGUGGCAAUGCUGACCAUCCGGCUGGUUUGAACCAGGAUAAAAGUGAAGAUGUCAUCUGUGAAGACCCAACUCUUUCUUUGGCUCUUCUGUGGAAUCCAUCUUUGUUCUGCUGUCCUCUGCUGCCCAGAAUCUGCAUCCCUGAGAUCCCCCAAAUCAGUACUCAUGGUGCCUUUGCAGUUGUUUGUGGAUAAGCAUAGAGUGAUGAAGAAUUUGAGUUAUCCGACAUGAAUGUUCCCAGAUGAUGUUGAAUAAGUGAUUUUGCUGUUUAAAAUGCCUCCUUCCUCCGAAGCUUCGUAUUGAAGUGGUGUCCGGUAUUCCUAAGCAGAAGGCUGCGAAGUGUCUUACAGAGAAAAUAUGUGUGUUAGAUAAGCAUUG